rnacentral:miRNA from 1 species
AGGAGGUUGGACUCCCCAUUC